UUUGCAAAUAUCUUCUCCCAUUCCGUGGGUUGCCUCUUUCAGAGUUUAAUAGAUCAUAAAAGCAGAAAAUCAGUAGAGAAACAAGAGCAUUGCAUGACACAUUGGAACAGAGGGACCUCAUAGAUAUAUACAGAACAUUCCACCCUAAAACAACAGAAUACU